GCCGGAGUGGCGGAAUGGCAGACGCAGCGGACUCAAAAUCCGCCGACCAUAAAUCGUAGGGGUUCGAGUCCCCUCUCCGGCACCA
rnacentral:tRNA from 1 species